CCCCUAGACGUUCUGGGCCGCACGCGCGCUACACUGACCAGUGCAACAAGCAUCCGUCCUUGGCCGACAGGCCCGGGCAAUCUUUGAACGCUGGUCGUGAUGGGGAUAGACUUUUGCAAUUUUUGGUCUUCAACGAGGAAUUCCUAGUAAACGCAAGUCAUCAACUUGCAUUGAUUACGUCCCUGCCCUUUGUACACACCGCCCGUCGCACCUACCGAUUGAAUGGUCCGGUGAAGCCUCCGGAUUGGCGCGCACCUCGGUGCCGCCGAGAAGUUGGCUAAACCUUACCAUUUAGAGGAAGGUGAAGUCGUAACA
rnacentral:rRNA from 1 species